ensembl:snRNA LOC120101949 U6 spliceosomal RNA
GUGCUCUCUUGGGCAGCACAUACACUAAAAUUGGAACGACAGAGAAGAUUAGCAUGGUCCCUGUGCAAGGAUGACACACAAAUUUGUGAAGUGUUCCAUAAUUAA